GAUGAACGCUAGCGGCAGGCUUAACACAUGCAAGUCGAGGGGUAUUGGUUUUCGGACCAAGAGACCGGCGCACGGGUGCGUAACGCGUAUGCAAUCUACCUUUUGCAGAGGGAUAGCCCAGAGAAAUUUGGAUUAAUACCUCAUAGUAUAGUACUUUGGCAUCAAGGAACUAUUAAAGUCACAACGGCAAAAGAUGAGCAUGCGUCCCAUUAGCUAGUUGGUAAGGUAACGGCUUACCAAGGCUACGAUGGGUAGGGGUCCUGAGAGGGAGAUCCCCCACACUGGUACUGAGACACGGACCAGACUCCUACGGGAGGCAGCAGUGAGGAAUAUUGGACAAUGGGACGCAAGCCUGGAUCCGAGCCAUGCCGCGUGCAGGAUGA
rnacentral:rRNA from 1 species